GAUGAAGAACGCAGCGAAAUGCGAUAAGUAAUGUGAAUUGCAGAAUUCAGUGAAUCAUCGAAUCUUUGAACGCACAUUGCGCCCCUUGGUAUUCCGGGGGGCAUGCCUGUUCGAGCGUCAUUACAACCCUCAAGCUCUGCUUGGUCUUGGGCGUCACCGGUCCCCGGUGUGCCUUAAAAUCAGUGGCGGCGCCAUCUGGCUCUAAGCGUAGUACAUACUCUCGCUACAGACGUCCGGUGGAUGCUGGCCAGCAACCCCCAAUUUAUCAAGGUUGACCUCGGAUCAGGUAGGGAUACCCGCUGAACUUAAGCAUAUCAAUAAGCGGAGGA
rnacentral:misc_RNA from 1 species